UACGUGAAACCGUUCAGGGGUAAACGGGAGAAAUCCUGAAUUCGAAAGGGGUCUGGAUUCACCCGGCUCGGGGAGGCGUUGGGCGGCCCCGCGCCAGAUGGCUGCCGGUUCGCCCGCGGCGCGAGGUGACUCGCCCGCGGGGUCGCUUCCGGCCGGCCACUCGGCGCGGUCGGCGACAUGCUCCGGCCACCCGCCGGUGCACUUCCUCCCUAGUAGAAACGUCGCGACCCGUUGGGUGCCGGCCUCAGGGCCCGGGAAGGCGGCCCGACCGGGGGGAUCUGUUCGCCGUUCCGCGGUGCCAGGUUCCUUUCCCGGUCGGACUCCCGGAUCGCCCGGCCGGCUGCCCGACGGUAGGACCAGAAGGAGUCGACCCGCUGCGACCCGCGAAGCACCAUGGUUGUGAAGCGUCCGAACCGGCGCCGGUUACCGCUGCGGGGCCAUCGGGGUGUUCAACAGUGCGUGUGUUCCACUGUCCCCCCCUCGCACGCGCGUCCGGCGUCGGACCUUCUCGGACGGGGUCGGUAAGCUCCCGUCCGCGACGCCCAUCUUCGGAUGG
rnacentral:rRNA from 2 species